GGAGGCUCGGCCACAGCACUGCGCACCAGUAACCUUGUGCGAUGUGAUCAUUAACCUUUCUGGAAAGCGCAGCUGGCAGUUCUCCGAGGUUUGUCAUUAGAAUGUGAGGGAGCCACACAGAUAUUGCACAGACCAGUCAAGGAUUGGUUUACUUGGAGAGCUACUGCUUCACUUCUAAGUGGCAGAAAAAAAUGAGAAUGCAACAAUUCCUUUUUGUAUUUUUAAUUUUUAUGAUGAGUCUGCUUCUUAUCGACGGACAGAGACCAGCUAACUUAGGAAUGAGAAGAAAACUGCACAGACACAACUGCCUUCAGAGGAGAUGUAUGCCUCUCCACUCACGAGUGCCCUUUCCCUGAGAAACCACCUCUGGUUCUGAUGACUUUACCAGUUGUCCCAGACGGCCAGUUUGCGCUCAGCAGUUUGCGGAGGCCAGUCAAAGGCCUUGUCUCACUGCCUUCUGUCUGCGUGUUGUCGGACUGUGCUCGUCACUUCCACCCUCCCUGUGCCGUCACCGCCUGAAGAUCUCUCUAGCUCACUUCAUCGAGUCCGCCUGAACAGGAGUGAAAGACAGACACUACUCACCCACAGGACAGUGUGAUUUCCUAGAACUCCUGUACAAAAGGAAUCAUUUGAAAGCACCUUGGAUAGUUUAUUAGUUUCACAGGAUUCUCUUCUUGCUAGUUUCUCUUUUGAAACAUAAAUUUAAAAGCAAUUUCAUACUGAAGCACAAUUAUCUGCCUAUACAACAAAAGUAUUUUUUCAGCACAUAAUUAUUUUACAAGUUACAAGAAGAAUACUUUUUAAUA